rnacentral:rRNA from 1 species
UACAGAGGGUGCGAGCGUUAAUCGGAAUUACUGGGCGUAAAGCGUGCGUAGACGGUAGCGUAAGUCAGAUGUGAAAGCCCCGGGCUCAAUCUGGGAAUGGCAUUUGAGACUGCUCUGCUCGGGUGCGGAAGAGGGAAGCGGAAUUUCCGGUGUAGCGGUGAAAUGCGUAGAUAUCGGAAGGAACACCAGUGGCGAAAGCGGCUUCCUGGUCCGACACCGACGUUCAGGCACGAAAGCGUGGGGAGCAAACAGG